AGCGAACGCUGGCGGCAGGCCUAACACAUGCAAGUCGAACGAACCUUUCGGGGUUAGUGGCGGACGGGUGAGUAACACGUGGGAACGUGCCUUUAGGUUCGGAAUAACUCGGGGAAACUUGUGCUAAUACCGAAUGUGCCCUUCGGGGGAAAGAUUAAUCGCCUUUAGAGCGGCCCGCGUCUGAUUAGCUAGUUGGUUGAGGUAAUGGCUCACCAAGGCGACGAUCAGUAGCUGGUCUGAGAGGAUGAUCAGCCACAUUGGGACUGAGACACGGCCCAAACUCCUACGGGAGGCAGCAGUGGGGAAUCUUGCGCAAUGGGCGAAAGCCUGACGCAGCCAUGCCGCGUGAAUGAUGAAGGUCUUAGGAUUGUAAAAUUCUUUCACCGGGGACGAUAAUGACGGUACCCGGAGAAGAAGCCCCGGCUAACUUCGUG
rnacentral:rRNA from 1 species